CGGGGGACUUAGUACUUCGACGAGCUGCUAUUUCACAACCUCAAAACCAAGAGAAACUUGCCCCAAACUGGGAAGGCCCGUAUGAAGUCAGGGAGGUAGUCCGGCCCGGAACAUACUAUCUAAAAGAGCUCGGAGGAGUAGACCUUCUGCGACCAUGGAAUUCGAAAAAUUUACGAAUGUAUUAUCGAAAACUUUGCCUUA
rnacentral:lncRNA from 1 species